UUAGACAGAGUAGGGGGGGUAAGGAGGUUGGCGUCGGCGGAUCUGGGGUUGGGAGCGUGUCGAUGCAGGAGGUCCUUAAGGUAUGAAAUGGCAAGGUUGUGAACGGCUUUGUAUAUGUGAUGAGAAGAAUCUUGAACUGUAUCCUUUGCUGUAUGGGGAGCCAGUGGAGGUUUUAAAUGAUGGCAGCUGAGUUUUGGACGUAUUGUAGUUUGUUGAUGAAUUUAAGGCAAUGUAUAAUGCCCCCAAAAGACAUGACUGUGUGUUGUAUUUAGGAGCUGUUAGUGGACCUCGGCUGGGCGAGCAAAACCACAGGAAAGGUGGAGGAAGAGGAGGGAGGAAGUGCAGAGACAGAGAGAGGCAGCGGCGACGACGACUGCGAUGAUGAAGAUGGCUGUGAAGCAUCUGGUGUGGAGAACGGUGAUCAGACAGGCGAUACGUCCAGCGGUCGUAGUCCAGCAACAAAGGACAUGGCUCCUCCUCCUCCUCCUCCUCCUCGGCCCGUCCCUCCUCACCACCUCUCACCUCCACAGGUGGUAGUUCGAGGCUCGGCCCACACGUCGUCUGUUGAACCUCUGACCCUGGCGACCCUGCUGCUUCUACUGCUGUCGCUAUGGGAACACCGCUGAUCACGGAGAGACGGUCUUACAGAGACAAAAAGACUAAGAGACAACCACGAGAGCUCUGUGGUGAAGUUGAGUAUUUGUAAUUCCUGUAAGUACAGGUCAACCACUCUGAUUGUUUUUGUUUUGGGUGGGACGAGCUGUCGAUUCAUCACAGUUGCAGGUGCACUGCAUGCAUUUCUAUGUUACCUGUACUGACCUCCACACGUGUUUGUCUACGUGUAUUUAACUCUGAUAGGAUAGACUGCACAGCACUACUGACUUUUUUUUGAAAAGAGAUGUAAAUACAAAUAUAUCUAUAUUAUAUAUUUAUAUAAAGAAUUUCUAUAGAUAACAACGGCUUGAAGUGUAAAUAGAGAAUAAUAUAGAAUUGACCAGAUUGACUUAAACGUUUAGUUGUGUUUUGUUUAGUUUGACAUUGUGUGUCCCUCACAGAGACUAAGAUACAUGACAGCUAUGGUUUAAGCUGAAGGCCUCCUGAGGACGUAUUCAUUUUGAAGAGAACUCAGCAUUCGAUGGCCAAAACAAUCUAUUAUGCGACACUUCAGACCACUUACAGAUGGCCAUGUAGCAUAAUGACGAAUUGGACAGUUUGGCCUGUAGGUCUGUGCAGCUUGAAGCCCAUCCGGCACUUUUUCCACAUAAACAACAAAACGUUUGCUCAUGCAAGCUGGCGAUUUUUCAUUUUUGAAUUUCUGCAGCAAGUAUGCUGAGAGAUUUAACUGUGUAGCACAUGCUCAACAUUUUAAUUCCUCAAAAAAUGACUCUUUAGAGGUGGAGAUCUCUCCUAAGAAACCGUUUCUUCAAAUAUACCACCUUUUAUAUUAGUUGAGGGAAAACUGAGUUAACGUUGUUUUCUUCUUAAGCUGCACAGCGUGCAGUUGUAAAAGCACCAGAGGGAGGGAUGUAACAGCUUCCAUUUCAACUUCAAUUUCACUGCCCCGGCCAUCCUCGGCAGAGAGCUCCGUUAUAAAUAAAAGUAUCAUAAACAAUAAAAUGCACCUUAUACAUGAGAAAACUAAGUAUGGACCACAUGUAACAGCAACAAGACACAAUUAUCUGGCUGAACUGUCAGUGAUUUCCCAAGCUGACAUGGUCUCCAAAUGUAUUAAUACAAUGAUAAUAUUUAAGGCAUCCAACAAAACACUGCAUAUUUAUGGCAUGUGUGAUACAUGUGUUAUGAGCUUGUCUCUGUAGCCAAUGUAGACAAGAGGUGUAGUAUCAGGAGAGCCCGGAUCCAAACAUGUGAAUUAACUGUAAUUCAUGUUAAUUAUGGCUAUGAAGUCCUCCCGCCUCGCUGUUGAAUCUCAAACCCCUCAAACUGCACAGCAGGACGGACAACUGGAAUACUGAUUAAUACACUCAAAAUGGAGCAAAUGAACCCGCUGAAGGACACUGUGCAUUUCUGUCUGAUUGUGACUGACUUUCUCCUCGUAAUUUUCUCACAUUGUCCUUUGAAUAUCGCAGAAUUCUCAUAUAAAUUUAUUAUUUUGCCGAAGAAAUGUGACUGACAGUUGAGACGACAUAAAUAUAGUCGACAUGUGUGAGUUAUCUGGCAGUGAGCCCAAAUACCGUGAUAGCUAGCGCGAUGCUCUUGCACCAAUAUUUGUCAAACAAGUGUGCUAUUAUUUGAUUCAUAUUUAAACGUCAUACCCAAAUGAGAUGAGAUUUUGGAUUUGAUCCCACCCCUUCAUCUCUCACAGCUUUUCCUCUGCGACCUGAAUGAACGAAACACCGGAUGGGCUAUUCACAGACAUAUUUGAGUUUGGGAAAUGUUAACAGAAAUACAGCUGUGCUGUGUGUCAUUGUCAAAAAUAUUUAAUUAAAUGUACUUUGUCAUGGUUUAACAGGGUUUUUUUUGUGUAGAAAUCUUAAUGUUGUUGUAGCAGUAUGCAGGAACACCAGGAUGCAACAAACAGCCAGUUAGCUACAGCAGUAUGGUUUCUCUCCCCACGCUCUGAAAACCACUGUGCUUAUUUAAUUUGACUUAACCAGUGACUCUCGUGUGAAACAGAAAUAAACCUGCUGUAUUAUAUUGUGUCCUGCUACUCUGAUGUGUCAUUAAUCUUCAGCUUAAUAUCAUCAGUAAUAAAUUGUUUUCAAAUACA